rnacentral:rRNA from 1 species
UACGUAGGGUGCGAGCGUUGUCCGGAAUUAUUGGGCGUAAAGGGCUCGUAGGCGGUUUGUCGCGUCGGGAGUGAAAACCUACAGCUUAACUGUGGGCUUGCUUUCGAUACGGGCAGACUAGAGGUAUGCAGGGGAGAACGGAAUUCCUGGUGUAGCGGUGAAAUGCGUAGAUAUCGGGAGGAACACCAGUGGCGAAGGCGGCUUCCUGGCCUGUUCUUGACGCUGAGGCGCGAAAGCUAGGGGAGCAAACGGG